rnacentral:rRNA from 1 species
CGCGAGUGAAGCGGCAAAAGGUUAAAUUUGAAAUCCUCCGGGAAUUGUAAUUUGAAGGUGGGGUUGAAUAGGUUUAGAUACUUUAAGUUCCUUGGAAAAAGGCGCCCUGGAGGGUGAUAGCCCCGUAAAAGUAUUCAAAACCUUCUUUUUUUCCCCUCCUAAGAGUCGAGUUGUUUGGGAAUGCAGCUUUAAGUGGGUGGUAAAUUCCAUUUAAAGCUAAAUAUUGGCGAGAGACCGAUAGCGAACAAGUACAGUGAUGGAAAGAUGAAAAGCACUUUGAAAAGAGAGUGAAAAAGUACGUGAAAUUGUUGAAAGGGAAGGGCUUGCAAGCAGACACAACCUCGGUUGGGCCAGCAUCGGAGUGGGGGGAGACAAAAAAGGUUAGGAAUGUAGCUCCCUUUAGAGUAUUAUAUCCUAGCCCUAUAUCUCU